rnacentral:rRNA from 1 species
AGNCCGCCUCGCAAGAANGAAAACUCAAAAGGAAUUGACGGGGGCCCGCACAAGCGGUGGAGCAUGUGGUUUAAUUUGAAGCAACGGGAAGAACCUUACCAGGUCUUGACAUCCCCUGACACCCCGAGAGAUCGGGCGUUCCCCUUCGGGGGACAGGGUGACAGGUGGUGCAUGGUUGUCGUCAGCUCGUGUCGUGAGAUGUUGGGUUAAGUCCCGCAACGAGCGCAACCCUUGACCUUAGUUGCCAGCAUUGAGUUGGGCACUCUAAGGUGACUGCCGAUGACAAAUCGGAGGAAGGUGGGGAUGACGUCAAAUCAUCAUGCCCCUUAUGACCUGGGCUACACACGUGCUACAAUGGGCGGUACAAAGGGUUGCGAACCCGCGAGGGGGAGCCAAUCCCAAAAAGCCGCUCUCAGUUCGGAUUGCAGGCUGCAACUCGCCUGCAUGAAGCCGGAAUCGCUAGUAAUCGCGGAUCAGCAUGCCGCGGUGAAUACGUUCCCGGGCCUUGUACACACCGCCCGUCACACCACGAGAGUUUGCAACACCCGAAGUCGGUGGGGUAACCCUUACGGGAGCCAGCCGCCGAAGGUGGGGCAGAUGAUUGGGGUGAAGUCGUAACAAGGUAGCCGU